rnacentral:rRNA from 1 species
GACGAACGCUGGCGGCGUGCUUAACACAUGCGAGUCGAACGGAAAGGCCCUGCUUUUGUGGGGUGCUCGAGUGGCGAACGGGUGAGUAACACGUGAGUAACCUGCCCUUGACUUUGGGAUAACUUCAGGAAACUGGGGCUAAUACCGGAUAGGAGCUCCUGCUGCAUGGUGGGGGUUGGAAAGUUUCGGCGGUUGGGGAUGGACUCGCGGCUUAUCAGCUGGUUGGUGGGGUAGUGGCUUACCAAGGCUUUGACGGGUAGCCGGCCUGAGAGGGUGACCGGCCACAUUGGGACUGAGAUACGGCCCAGACUCCUACGGGAGGCAGCAGUGGGGAAUAUUGCACAAUGGGCGGAAGCCUGAUGCAGCAACGCCGCGUGCGGGAUGACGGCCUUCGGGUUGUAAACCGCUUUCGCCUGUGACGAAGCGUGAGUGACGGUAAUGGGUAAAGAAGCACCGGCUAACUACGUG